UACGGAGGGUGCAAGCGUUAAUCGGAAUUACUGGGCGUAAAGCGCACGCAGGCGGUUGGAUAAGUUAGAUGUGAAAGCCCCGGGCUCAACCUGGGAAUUGCAUUUAAAACUGUCCAGCUAGAGUCUCGUAGAGGGGGGUAGAAUUCCAGGUGUAGCGGUGAAAUGCGUAGAGAUCUGGAGGAAUACCGGUGGCGAAGGCGGCCCCCUGGACAAAGACUGACGCUCAGGUGCGAGAGCGUGGGGAGCAAACAGG
rnacentral:rRNA from 1 species